CCUACGGGCGACAGCAGUGGGGAAUAUUGCACAAUGGGGGAAACCCUGAUGCAGCGACGCCGCGUGAGUGAAGAAGUAUUUCGGUACGUAAAGCUCUAUCAGCAGGGAAGAAAAUGACGGUACCUGACUAAGAAGCCCCGGCUAACUACGUGCCAGCAGCCGCGGUAAUACGUAGGGGGCAAGCGUUAUCCGGAUUUACUGGGUGUAAAGGGAGCGUAGACGGCAGCGCAAGUCUGGAGUGAAAUCCCAUGGCUUAACCAUGGAACUGCUUUGGAAACUGUGCAGCUAGAGUGCAGGAGAGGUAAGCGGAAUUCCUAGUGUAGCGGUGAAAUGCGUAGAUAUUAGGAGGAACACCAGUGGCGAAGGCAGCUUACUGGACUGUAACUGACGUUGAGGCUCGAAAGCGUGGGGAGCAAACAGGAUUAGAUACCCCAGUAGUC
rnacentral:rRNA from 1 species